CCACGGCAGAAUCAGAACAGGUCUCUGGCCAUCAGAUCACUCUUCUUUCUGCCCUGGAAGGGGUUCCUGUUUAAUUGCAACAGCACAUUUUACUCUUCAGAUUUUUUCUUUUCAUAAGCACCUACUAUUUGGAAGGAAGAAUGGUAGCGGCAACUGCAUAUGAACUAUUCUUCCAAUAAGAUUAGGAAAAGUGACUCAUGUAUACAAAUAAUUCAAUACAAGAAGCCAAAUACCUCGUCUAGUAAGAGCCCUAAAUAUGAAGACAUUACUCCUUCAAAUGGUGGACUCUUUAAUGGGUCCUGGAAAGCAUUCCCAACUGGCUGGUGAAGGAAGGAUGUCUCCCAGAUCUCCAUCAUGUGACCAAAAAGCACUUAAGUGAAUGUCUCUUGCCUGCAAGG